GGGCCCGCACAAGCGGUGGAGUAUGUGGUUUAAUUCGAUGCAACGCGAAGAACCUUACCAGGGUUUGACAUCCUGCGAAUUUCUGGGAAACCGGAAAGUGCCUUCGGGAGCGCAGUGACAGGUGGUGCAUGGCUGUCGUCAGCUCGUGUCGUGAGAUGUUGGGUUAAGUCCCGCAACGAGCGCAACCCACGUCUUUAGUUGCCAGCAUUUAGUUGGGCACUCUAGAGAGACUGCCGGUGAUAAACCGGAGGAAGGUGUGGAUGACGUCAAGUCCUCAUGGCCCUUACGGGUUGGGCUACACACGUGCUACAAUGGUAGUGACAAUGGGUUAAUCCCAAAAAGCUAUCU
rnacentral:rRNA from 1 species